rnacentral:rRNA from 1 species
ACUCAAAGGAAUUGACGGGGACUCGCACAAGCGGUGGAUUAUGCGGCUCAAUUCGUCGGCAAACGAAGAACCUUACCAAGGUUAGAAAUCCAGCUGCAUCCGACCCGAAAGGGACGGAGCCUUCGAGGGUGCUGGACAGGUGAUGCAUGGUCGUCGUCAGUUCGUGGUUUGAACUGUUCCCUUCAGUGGGGUAACGAACGCAACCCCCGUUGCCUGUUGCCUAUAUGGCCAGGCGAGACUGCUCCCUCACGGGAGAGGAAGGUGGGGAUGACGCCAGAUCAGCAUGUCCCUCUGAUACCUUGGGCCGCACGCAUAAUACAAUGGUUGGUACAACGGGAGGCAAGACCGCAAGGUGGAGCAAAUCCUUUAAAACCAACCCCAGUACGGAUUGAGGUCUGCAAUCGACCUCAUGAAGCCGGAAUCGCUAGUAAUCUCGGGUCAGCCAAACCGAGGUGAAUACGUUCUCGAGUCUUGUACACACCGCCCGU